rnacentral:lncRNA from 1 species
UGAGAGUGAGAUAUCGACCCGAGGCGACUUGCAAGUCGAAGCGCGAUAAAGAAGCAGGAUUAAUACUCUUGUUUUGGACAUUUCUUUCAAUGGAAGAGAACAAGUACAAAGAAACAAAUCUUUAUUUCUGUUACUUAACAUUUAAAACUUUACAUUCUCACUUGUGUCGACUUUAUGAAUUGAAAGCAGACGCAUUUCGGGCAGGCGACUCCGCCGCCCAUCAUCGAUAAGACAGAGGUAUUGUUCCAACUCUCAUGAGGAGGCAAGGUGUUAUCAGACUAGAAAGCACUAUCUACCAGCAUUCUUCAGAUUUUGGCCAUAUCGUAUUCCAAAACAGAAAAAAACUGAACCGAAUCAAGUCACGUUAAGAGGAGAGAAGCUAGCAUUUGUACGAGGGCGGUGGGUUAUGUCGGCUGGCCGCAACCUAAUCAGCGUUUAUGUCCGGUCGGUGAAAGUCCAGCACUCUGAGCUUUCACCCUUCCGCGGGUAAAUAUCACGUACUCUAACCGAAUGAAUAAUGGGAGCACGGUUGCCGUAUCGUUGAAAGAGGUAAGUGGAAUUCAAAUUGAAAAUUGCUCUCGGUAAAUUCAUUUCUUAGCACAGGGUGUCUAGUUUUUUUUUUUUUUUUUUUUUUUUUUUUUUUUUUUUUUUUUUUUUUUUUUUUCAUUUUGGAAAAUCCAGAUGCAAUCCUGAUUUUUCCUGAUUUAAGACUGCUAGAUCCUAAUUUCAUAAUUUUUCCAAAUCCUAAUUUUUUGCGGAGAAAAAUUAAAAUUUCUGCAUAAACGUAUGCGAAAGCAGAACUCUAGAAUUUCGAACGGCCGACUUUUCUCAAAUUCUGAUUUUACGACUGAUUUUUCCUCAAAUCCUGAUGAAACCAGGAUUAGAUUCUAAUUGACCUCAAAUCCUGAUAGAAUCGGGAAAAUCCUGAUGCUAGACACCCUGCUAAUCUUUAUAAGAAAAUCGUUGAUUUUACAAGUUCUAUGGAGACUGUUAAAUCCUUCUUUUUUCCUUUCAAAGGACUACAUACUUAUUCCUUCUUGAUCGAUUUUGUUUGCAUUAGUCUGCAAGGGCCUCGUGGAAAGCCUAAAUAAUCAACACUUAAAAUGUGUUUUUUUAACGACAAUCAUCAAAAAAACUCUAGGACAUUUUCGGGAUGGUUAAAAUCGACGAAUUAAUCUUCGAAUACGUGCAAAGGACCUUUACCACCUCAUGUUAGGAAAAAUAGCAGGACCUGGUAUGGUUACAUUUUGAAGGUACAACGAACGAAUUUUAAGGUUCGAAAUUGGCUGAAAAAGGUAUUUACUGAAGACAACAGUAAACACAACUCUGUCACGGAACAAUACGCACUUACUGCUGUUCUGUCUGGAGUGAGGUUAAUUUUAGC